AACUCUCGACAACGGAUAUCUAGGCUCUUGCAUCGAUGAAGAACGUAGCGAAAUGCGAUACUUGGUGUGAAUUGCAGAAUCCCGUGAACCAUCGAGUCUUUGAACGCAAGUUGCGCCUGAAGCCAUUAGGUUGAAGGCACGUCUGCUUGGGUGUCACA
rnacentral:rRNA from 1 species